rnacentral:rRNA from 1 species
UUGGAGGGCAAGUCUGGUGCCAGCAGCCGCGGUAAUUCCAGCUCCAAUAGCGUAUAUUAAAGUUGUUGCAGUUAAAAAGCUCGUAGUUGAAUUUCGGGGCUAAUAUGUCGGUCGUACUUUGUACGUACUAACAUUAUUGGUUUCUCCCUUCUGACGAACCACGAUGUCAUUAAUUUGGUGUCGUGGGAAAUCAGGACUGUUACUUUGAAAAAAUUAGAGUGUUUAAAGCAAGCUCGCGCUUGAAUACAUUAGCAUGGAAUAAUGAAAUAGGACGUUUGAUUCUAUUUUGUUGGUUUCUAAGAUCGACGUAAUGAUUAAUAGGGAUAGUUGGGGGCAUUAGUAUUCAAUUGUCAGAGGUGAAAUUCUUGGAUUUAUUGAAGACUAACUACUGCGAAAGCAUUUGCCAGGAUGUUUUCAUUAAUCAAGAACGAAAGUUAGGGGAUCGAAGACGAUCAGAUACCGUCGUAGUCUUAACCAUAAACUAUGCCGACUAGGGAUCGGAUGAUGUUAAUUUUUUAAUGACUCAUUCGGCGCCUUACGGGAAAC